rnacentral:rRNA from 1 species
UAAACAGGAUUCCCUAGUAACGGCGAGUGAAGCGGGAAGAGCUCAAGCUUAAAAUCUGCGGCGCUUGCGUCGUCAGAAUUGUAGUUGAGAGAAGUGCUUUCACCGUGACGACCGAUGGCCUAAGUUGCUUGGAACAGCACGUCAUAGAGGGUGAGAAUCCCGUCUGUGGUUGGUCGGUCCAGCGGAACGAUGCACUUUCGAAGAGUCGGGUUGUUUGGGAAUGCAGCCCAAAAUGGGUGGUAAACUCCAUCUAAAGCUAAAUACUGCCACGAGACCGAUAGCGAACAAGUACCGUGAGGGAAAGAUGAAAAGCACUUUGAAAAGAGAGUUAAAAGCACGUGAAACCGUUGAAAGGGAAACGCGCUCGGCUAGCAAUGCACGUCAAUGGUUCAGCCGGCUAGUCUUGUCGAGUCGCCGCUUGAUGGAUCCGAACGGACCGCGGGUGGUGGCAUCGGUGGGCGAGCUGUGGUGCACUCCGUGGGCGUGCGCGUCAGCGUCGGUUCUCGACGGGCGAUGAGGUGCGUGCGGGGAAGGUAGCUCGGUCCUCGGACGGAGUGUUAUAGACCCGCUCGGCGCUGGGCUCGUCGUGGGACCGAGGAGAGAGAUGAUCGUUGCGGCGCCUGCUUAGCUAGCCAGCCGCUGUCGGGUGCGGCGUCACGCGUCGAGGACUGCACGCAGUGCUUGGUGCGGAGGCGUGAUCCGGCGGUGGUGUGGGCAUAGAGGCGCCUAGGACGCUGGCGUCCAAAUGGCCGUGCGCGACCCGUCUUGAAACACGGACCAAGGAGUCUAACAUGUGCGCGAGUCUUAGGGUGUGCAAGCCCUCGGGCGCAAUGAAAGUGAAGGCUCGACGCUGGUCGGGCUGAGGUGAGAGCCGCUUCUGGCCUGACUGCCA